rnacentral:rRNA from 1 species
GACGAACGCUGGCGGCGUGCUUAACACAUGCAAGUCGAACGGAAAGGCCCUGCUUUUGUGGGGUGCUCGAGUGGCGAACGGGUGAGUAACACGUGAGUAACCUGCCCUUGACUUUGGGAUAACUUCAGGAAACUGGGGCUAAUACCGGAUAGGAGCUCCUGCUGCAUGGUGGGGGUUGGAAAGUUUCGGCGGUUGGGGCUGGACUCGCGGCUUAUCAGCUUGUUGGUGGGGUAGUGGCUUACCAAGGCUUUGACGGGUAGCCGGCCUGAGAGGGUGACCGGCCACAUUGGGACUGAGAUACGGCCCAGACUCCUACGGGAGGCAGCAGUGGGGAAUAUUGCACAAUGGGCGGAAGCCUGAUGAAGAAACGCCGCGUGCGGGAUGACGGCCUUCGGGUUGUAAAACGCUUUCGCCUGUGACGAAGCGUGAGUGACGGUAAUGGGUAAAGAAGCACCGGCUAACUACGUG